rnacentral:rRNA from 1 species
GUGGGGAAUCUUAGACAAUGGGCGCAAGCCUGAUCUAGCCAUGCCGCGUGAGCGAUGAAGGCCUUAGGGUUGUAAAGCUCUUUCGUGGGGGAAGAUAAUGAUUGUACCCCAAGAAGAAGCCCCGGCUAACUCCGUGCCAGCAGCCGCGGUAAUACGGAGGGGGCUAGCGUUGUUCGGAAUUACUGGGCGUAAAGCGCACGUAGGCGGACUGGAAAGUCAGGGGUGAAAUCCCGGGGCGCAACCCCGGAACUGCCUUUGAAACUCCCAGUCUUGAGGUCGAGAGAGGUGAGUGGAAUUCCGAGUGUAGAGGUGAAAGUCGUAGAUAUUCGGAGGAACACCAGUGGCGAAGGCGGCUCACUGGCUCGAUACUGACGCUGAGGUGCGAAAGCGUGGGGAGCAAACAGGAUGAGAUACCCCAGUAGUCC